AGUCGUAACAAGGUCUCCGUAGGUGAACCUGCGGAGGGAUCAUUACAGAGAACAUCGCCCGCGAGGGUGACUCUCCAACCCUAUGUUAACUAUACCUUUGUUGCUUUGGCGGGCCGCUUCGGCCACCGGCUCACGCUGGUGCGUGCCCGCCAGAGGACCCCCCUAAACUCUGUUUAAAAAUGUCGUCUGAGUACUAUAUAAUAGUUAAAACUUUCAACAACGGAUCUCUUGGUUCUGGCAUCGAUGAAGAACGCAGCGAAAUGCGAUAAGUAAUGUGAAUUGCAGAAUUCAGUGAAUCAUCGAAUCUUUGAACGCACAUUGCGCCCUGUGGUAUUCCGCAGGGCAUGCCUGUUCGAGCGUCAGUACAACACUCAAGCCUAGCUUGGUCUUGGGCCUCGCCGGAAACGGCGGGCCUUAAAAUCAGUGGCGGCGCCUCUUGGGCCCUAAGCGUAGUAAUACUCCUCGCUACAGGGUCCCUCGAGAUGUUGGCCAGCAACCCCCAACUUUCUAAGUUUGACCUCGGAUCAGGUAGGGAUACCCGCUGAACUUAAGCAUAUCAAUAAGCGGAGGAAAAGAAACCAACAGGGAUUGCCUCAGUAACGGCGAGUGAAGCGGCAACAGCUCAAAUUUGAAAUCUGGCUCUUUCAGGGCCCGAGUUGUAAUUUGUAGAAGAUGCUUCGAGCGUGGCACCAGCCUAAGUUCCUUGGAACAGGACGUCAUAGAGGGUGAGAAUCCCGUAUGCGGCCGGCCGCCUUCGUUCAUGUGAAGCUCUUUCGACGAGUCGAGUUGUUUGGGAAUGCAGCUCAAAAUGGGUGGUAUAUUUCAUCUAAAGCUAAAUAUUGGCCAGAGACCGAUAGCGCACAAGUAGAGUGAUCGAAAGAUGAAAAGCACUUUGGAAAGAGAGUUAAACAGUACGUGAAAUUGUUGAAAGGGAAGCGCUUGCAACCAGACUUGCACGUUGCCGAUCAUCUGGGGUUCUCCCCAGUGCACUCGGUUGCGUUCAGGCCAGCAUCGGUUUGGGUGGUUGGAUAAAGGCCUUGGGAAUGUAGCUUCUUUCGGGGAGUGUUAUAGCCCUCGGUGCAAUGCAGCCUACCCGGACCGAGGACCGCGCUUCGGCUAGGAUGCUGGCGUAAUGGUUGUAAGCGACC
rnacentral:rRNA from 1 species